AAAUAAUGAAUCAUUUUCAUGCUUGCUUUGGAACGAUACAGAGAAGAUUAGCAUGGCCUCUACGCAAGGAUGACAUGCAAAUUGGUGAAGCAUUCCAUAUUUUU
rfam:Tupaia chinensis contig94268, whole genome shotgun sequence.